CCUACGGGUGGCAGCAGUCGAGAAUCAUUCACAAUGGGGGAAACCCUGAUGGUGCGACGCCGCGGGGGGGAAUGAAGGUCUUCGGAUUGUAAACCCCUGUCAUGUGGGAGCAAAUUAAAAAGAUAGUACCACAAGAGGAAGAGACGGCUAACUCUGUGCCAGCAGCCGCGGUAAUACAGAGGUCUCAAGCGUUGUUCGGAAUCACUGGGCGUAAGGCGUGCGUAGGCUGUUUCGUAAGUCGUGUGUGAAAGGCGCGGGCUCAACCCGCGGACGGCACAUGAUACUGCGAGACUAGAGUAAUGGAGGGGGAACCGGAAUUCUCGGUGUAGCAGUGAAAUGCGUAGAUAUCGAGAGGAACACUCGUGGCGAAGGCGGGUUCCUGGACAUUAACUGACGCUGAGGCACGAAGGCCAGGGGAGCGAAAGGGAUUAGAUACCCCAGUAGUC
rnacentral:rRNA from 1 species